UCCAGUUGAUCCUGCUGGAGGUUGCUGCUUUUUGGCUUGAAAUUACCCAUGCAAGUCUAUCGCAAGACGGCGAAUCGCUCAGAAACACGUAGUUAAUCUGCCCUUUGGUCAGAGAUACCCUCGGGAAACUGAGGCUAAUACCUGAUAGGAGUUUUUCUCUGGAAAGAUAAAACUCUGAAACUCGCGCCAAAGGAUGAGACUGCGACUGAUUAGCUUGUUGGUGGGGUAACUGCCUACCAAGGCGAUGAUCAGUAAGGGCCCUUAGCGGGGUAGCCCUGAGACGGAAUCUUAGACACUAUUCCGAGCCCUACGGGGUGCAGCAGGGGUGAAUCUUUUACAAUGCGCGCAAGCGUGAUAGAGCGAGCCAAAGUGUUUAUCAAUUUGAUAAACUUUUGUCGACUGUAAACAUGUCGAUGAAUAAGGACUGGGAAAGACUGGUGCCAGCCGCCGCGGUAAUACCAGCAGUUCUAGUUGCAACCAACUUUAUUUGGCCUAAAACAUCCGUAGCUUGUCUAAUAAGUUCCUUGUGAAAUUCCACGUCUCAAGCGUGGAGCGUGCAGGGAAUACUGUUAGGCUAGAGACCGGUAGGCGUAAGAAGUAUGUUCAAGGUAGCGGUUAAAUGUGUUAAUCUUGAGCAGACUAACAAUUAGCGAAGGCAUCUUACGAGGACGGAUCUGACAGUGAGGGAUGAAGGCCAGGGGCGCAAAACGGAUUAGAUACCCGUGUAGUCCUGGCAGUAAACACUGUUCACUAAACAUCGGGCCCUCUUCGGGAGGAUUCGGUGCUGAAGCGAAGGCGUAGAGUGAACUACCUGGGAAGUAUAGUCGCAAGGUCGAAACUUAAAGGAAUAGGCGGGGAGACACUACAACGAGUGACGCGUGCGGUUCAAUUAGAUUAUACACCGUGAACCUCACCAGGAGCGACAGCAGAAUGAAGGUCAGUCUAAAGGGCUUACCUGACACGCUGAGCGGAGAUGCAUGGCCGACGUCAGCCUGUGUUGUGAAAUGACCAGUUAAAUCUGGUAACAGGCGAGACCCAUGUGUAUAAUUACUACCGAAAGGAGAACAUUAUACAGACUGCCUUGGUAACAAGGAGGAAGGUAUGGGCUACGUUAGGUAGUACGUCCCUAAUCCCCUGGGCUACACGCGCGCGGCAAUGGCAGAUUCAAUGGGCUGCAACUCUGAAAAGAGGAGCCAAUCCCCUAAUGUCUGUCUCAGUCCAGAUCGAGGCUUGCAACCCAGCCUCGUGACGUUGGAAUUCGUAGUAAUCGGAUGUUAGCAGCGUCCGGUGAAUAUGUCCCUGUCUCUUGCACUCACUGCCCGUCAUUGCAACCGAGUUACGCAGAGAAGAAGCUCUUUUGAGAAGAUUCUUUGUAUGACAAGGUAGCA
rnacentral:rRNA from 1 species